AUUGAACGCUGGCGGCAGGCCUAACACUUGCAAGUCGAGCGGCAGCGGGAAAGUAGCUUGCUACUUUUGCCGGCGAGCGGCGGACGGGUGAGUAAUGCCUGGGAAAUUGCCCAGUCGAGGGGGAUAACAGUUGGAAACGACUGCUAAUACCGCAUACGCCCUACGGGGGAAAGCAGGGGACCUUCGGGCCUUGCGCGAUUGGAUAUGCCCAGGUGGGAUUAGCUAGUUGGUGAGGUAAUGGCUCACCAAGGCGACGAUCCCUAGCUGGUCUGAGAGGAUGAUCAGCCACACUGGAACUGAGACACGGUCCAGACUCCUACGGGAGGCAGCAGUGGGGAAUAUUGCACAAUGGGGGAAACCCUGAUGCAGCCAUGCCGCGUGUGUGAAGAAGGCCUUCGGGUUGUAAAGCACUUUCAGCGAGGAGGAAAGGUUGAUGCCUAAUACGUAUCAACUGUGACGUUACUCGCAGAAGAAGCACCGGCUAAUUCCGUGCCAGCAGCCGCCGUAA
rnacentral:rRNA from 1 species